CUGGCACACACCAGUACACAUUGAAUCACACACUGAUGCAUGUUGACGCACACACAAAUCAAUACACACACUGACACACACUCCAUACGCUGCUCCUGUUAAAGUGUAUAAACUUUUUCAUACAUGGUCUUGAUGAUUAAACAGAAGUGGAUCUGAACAUCUCCCGCUGGAUCACUGUGUCAUAAACCAUGAGAGUAAAUAAUUGUGUAAUAUGCAAAUGAAGGCCUGUUUACCAGGGAAAGGGGGCGGAGUGUGUUUGUAGACGUUUCCAGUUUGCACAUGAACAAUGUUUUCAUAGAGGUACAUAUAUUUACAUUGAAACUUCGUGUCAACACAUGCUAAUGGUCACAUGACCAUACACCGCUGUACACACCGUACCUGAACACACACAUUAUUCUGAUCUCAGAAUGUAAACACAGCCAGUAUCCAGCAGAUGGAGAUGAACUUUCUCACUCUGUGUGUGUGUGUGUGUGUGUGUGUGUGUGAACCCAUGUUCCACUCUGUUGCUGAUCUCAAUUUCUAAACUGACGCUCUCUGAGUCUGAGGUGAUGAACUCGUUUAUUCCACAGCAGCAGGUUCACCCAUAUGUGGGUGACUCUUUCCUGGAGCAUUUGUGUUUUUUGGACAUUGAUCAGGAGCCAAUCGUAGCACGCAACACUGGCAUCAUCUGCACCAUUGGCCCAGCGUCUCGAUCUGUGUCGAAGCUGCAGGCGAUGGUGAAGGCAGGAAUGAACAUCGCUCGCCUCAACUUCUCCCACGGAACCCAUGAGUAUCACAGAGAAUCUAUUCAGAAUAUUCAUGAAGCAGUGGAGUCGCUGACCUCUGACCCUCUGACCUAUCGACCAGUGGCCAUUGCCUUGGAUACCAAAGGACCUGAAAUUCGCACUGGUCUGGUACGAGGGCUCAUGAAUGGUGAGGUAAAGCUGGAGCGUGGCUCUGUGGUGAUGGUGGUGACCGCGGAAACAGAGCGGAGUAUGACGGAUGUUUCCUGUAUUUGGGUGGAUUAUCCUGAUCUGUCCAGAGUGGUAAAGACUGGAGGAACCAUCUAUAUUGACGAUGGACUCAUUGCUCUCACAGUGCUCCACAUAGGCGACGGGUGGGUGGAGACUCGGGUGGAGAGUGGUGGCAUUCUGUGUAGCCAUAAAGGUGUGAACCUGCCGGGGGCAGAGUUAGUGAACUUGCCCUCGGUAAGUGAACGGGACAGAGCUGACCUGCAGCUGGCAGUGGAGGAGGGAGUGGACAUCAUCUUCGCUUCUUUCAUCCGCUGUGCUGAGGAUGUGAGGGCUGUGAGGAGGGCUCUAGGACCCAGUGGAGCCAAAAUCAAAGUCAUCAGCAAGGUGGAAAACAGACAGGGCGUGCAGAAUUUUGAUGAGAUCCUGAGGGAGAGUGAUGGCGUGAUGGUUGCUCGUGGUGAUUUAGGGAUCGAGAUUCCAGCAGAGAAAGUGUUCAUUGCACAGAAGAUGAUGAUUGGACGCUGCAACACAGUGGGAAAACCAGUCAUCUGUGCCACACAGAUGUUGGAGAGCAUGGUGUGUAACGCCCGGCCAACCCGUGCUGAGAGUAGUGAUGUAGCCAACGCUGUGCUGGAUGGAGCGGACUGUGUCAUGCUCUCUGCAGAGACGGCUAAAGGGCGCUACCCAGUGGAAGCAGUAUCCAUGAUGCACUCAAUCUGCAGGGAGGCUGAGGCUGCUCUGUUCCACCAGCGGGUGUUUGAGGAUCUGAGGCGUCUCACUGCUCUCAGUUCAGACCCCACAGAGGUGACUGCGAUCGGAGCAGUUGAAUCGAGUUUCAAAUGCAGUGCUGGGGCCAUCAUUGUCCUCACCACCUCUGGGAGGUCUGCCCACCUGUUGUCUCGGUACCGUCCUCGAUGUCCCAUCAUUGCAGUGACGAGAAAUGCUCAGAUGGCCCGCCAGUCACAGCUGCUCCGGGGAAUAUUCCCCGCCAUCUACCGAGAACCCCCUGCUAAGGUUUGGGCUGAUGAUGUUGACAACAGGGUCACCUUCGGCAUGGACAUAGGUAAAGUGCAAGGCUUCUUUAAACCAGGUGACAUGGUCAUCAUCGUGACUGGAUGGAGCCCUGGAUCUGGACACACAAACAUCAUGAGAGCAGUGACAGUGCCAUGAAUCCUCAACUCUGAUUGGACACAAAUACUGACUCAGAUUAUUCCUUAAAUGUUUCUGUCAGCUGCAACUCUCCAGAGCCUCUGUUGUCCUGACUUGUAUCUUGCCACAGAAUCAAGGUCUUGCAGCAGCUAAGUGGCUUCGGACUGUAAAUCCACGCACACGCUGUCCAAUGAAUGAUGAUCGGAUACUUGCUUUUGGAUGAUGCUCCCGUGUUCGGGGUAACCACCCUGCUGCCCCCCCGGCAGCUAUGAGAAAUAUGCAAAGACCCGGAAAGACUGCGUCCUGGGUAGCUGACGCACUGCCAUCUCUGGCAGCGGUGAUAAAUUUGCAAAGACUGUAGACUACUCCUCCUCCCUGCCCCAACCAUACUCCCUCUAUGAAGUUUGCCACCUGGAAUGUGCGUAACAUGAUGGAUUCAGAUCAGUGGCGGCUGGUAGUCUUUCAAACAGGGGAGGCUAGUCGGUUACGAUAUUUCCAGAUUUUAAAAGAAAAAACACAUCAGUUUUGCCCAUACUCUUGCCUCUGAUCUGGCUGAUUGUUGGCAGCGUCACAAACUGUGAAAUCACAGGUUCUUUUGGCCCAUUAGCCUACUGUCCAAUAUACAUGAUGGUGGUGUUGGGGGGGAGGGGUAUAUUUUAACAUUUUAUAUUUUAAAAUUGUGGCAUGUUGUUUAAA